ACUCCUACGGGAGGCAGCAGUGGGGAAUAUUGCACAAUGGGGGGAAACCCUGAUGCAGCCAUGCCGCGUGUGUGAAGAAGGCCUUCGGGUUGUAAAGCACUUUCAGUAGGGAGGAAGGUAGUGUAGUUAACACCUGCAUUAUUUGUACGUUACCUACAGAAGAAGCACCGGCUAACUCCGUGCCAGCAGCCGCGGUAAUACGGAGGGUGCGAGCGUUAAUCGGAAUUACUGGGCGUAAAGCGCAUGCAGGCGGCUUGUUAAGUCAGAUGUGAAAGCCCGGGGUCUUAACCUCGGAAUUGCAUUUGAAACUGGCAGGCUAGAGUCUUGUAGGUAGGGGGUUAGAAUUUCGAGGUGUAGCGGUGAAAUGCGU
rnacentral:rRNA from 1 species